rnacentral:lncRNA from 1 species
CCCUGAAUUUCCAGGCUCCUCCUGUUGGCCUUCAGCCCUGUGAACAACCUCAGUAGACCUCCAGCCAGCCGUGAUAACCCUGCCCAAAACAUGGCUGUGUUUGAAACAGAAUCGGAUCGGACGUUAGAUCUUGCUUACAUCGCAGUGACAAGUGCCAGCUUCACAGGGUUGUUGAAUUCCAACAGUCCUGUCGUGGGUGUGCCAAGUAUUGUGGGAGAAUUUCUUUUAUGAGGAUAUCUACGUGGUAUCAGCAUGUAUAAUCCUGGUAAGCCGUCAAUCAAUAGCAAAGUCAUUUUAAGGCGAAUCGUAGAAAUAGAAAUGUCCCUUGAUAAUAUGACUGUCCUAGCUUUGCCCAGAUAACACCUAAGUCAAAAUCAUGAACUUACUUUCUUUCUUUUUUUUUUUUUUUUUUUUUGGUUCUUUUUUUCGGAGCUGGGGACCGAACCCAG